rnacentral:lncRNA from 1 species
ACGUCGAGUUUGGGGAUUUUUUGGUGGUGGUGUAGUGGUGUGGCGGCAGCAGCAGCAGCAGUGACGUUGAGUUCGAGGAUUUUUCGGUGGUGGUACAGUGCUGUGAGGAGCGGUGUGCGUGGAAACUUGGUCGAAAGAUGGAGCUGGGUUGUGUAUGCUGCAAAUGGAGAAGUCCGCGAUGGACUGACGUGAGGUGGUGAAAGGACAGUUGAAGCGUGGCGAUCGGUGAUGUAGAGGUGGUGGUGGAAUUUAGAGGUGACAGUUGAGGAUACAAGUAUUGGUGGUCGGCGGGUGAGAGGCAUAUUGGUUAAGGGCUUGGAUAUGUGGCUAUUUGGUGCUUGUCACAUGUGGGAUUUUUGGUCUUGCAGUUGGGCUGGAAAGGGUGGUGGUGGUGUCGUUGGAGGCGGUGGUAAAGUGGUGGUCACAAGUGUUAGCAGUGGUCACAAAUUAUUUAGUUGAUUAUGACCAUUAAAUUGGUUAACAUGUAAUCAAUAAAAAAGAUAAAUUGUGACAAAAAAAUAAUGUGUGACAUAAAAAAUUGUUAAUCUGUGACCUAUAAUUUGAUAAGUUGUGAUUUAUAAUAUUUGUUAUCUGUGACGUAUAAAUUUUGAUUCUGUGAUCAACGAACA